rfam:Camelus ferus unplaced genomic scaffold scaffold1086, whole genome shotgun sequence.
GAGGAUAUAGCUCAAAUGGUAGAGCACAUGCUUAGCAUGCACCAGAUCCUGGGUUCAAUCCCCAGCACCUCCU